GAAGCGUGCGAUUGGAUUGCACGUCUAAGCAGUAAGGCUGAGUAUUAGGCAAAUCCGGUACUCGUUAAGGCUGAGCUGUGAUGGGGAGAAGACAUUGUGUCUUCGAGUCGUUGAUUUCACACUGCCGAGAAAAGCCUCUAGAUAGAAAAUAGGUGCCCGUACCGCAAACCGACACAGGUAGUCAAGAUGAGAAUUCUAAGGUGAGCGAGCGAACUCUCGUUAAGGAACUCGGCAAAAUGACCCCGUAACUUCGGGAGAAGGGGUGCUCUUUAGGGUUAACGCCCAGAAGAGCCGCAGUGAAUAGGCCCAAGCGACUGUUUAUCAAAAACACAGGUCUCUGCUAAACCGUAAGGUGAUGUAUAGGGGCUGACGCCUGCCCGGUGCUGGAAGGUUAAGAGGAGUGGUUAGCUUCUGCGAAGCUACGAAUCGAAGCCCCAGUAAACGGCGGCCGUAACUAUAACGGUCCUAAGGUAGCGAAAUUCCUUGUCGGGUAAGUUCCGACCCGCACGAAAGGCGUAACGAUUUGGGCACUGUCUCAACGAGAGACUCGGUGAAAUCAUAGUACCUGUGAAGAUGCAGGUUACCCGCGACAGGACGGAAAGACCCCGUGGAGCUUUACUGUAGCCUGAUAUUGAAAUUCGGCACAGCUUGUACAGGAUAGGUAGGAGCCUUUGAAACGUGAGCGCUAGCUUACGUGGAGGCGCUGGUGGGAUACUACCCUAGCUGUGUUGGCUUUCUAACCCGCACCACUUAUCGUGGUGGGAGACAGUGUCAGGCGGGCAGUUUGACUGGGGCGGUCGCCUCCUAAAAGGUAACGGAGGCGCUCAAAGGUUCCCUCAGAAUGGUUGGAAAUCAUUCAUAGAGUGUAAAGGCAUAAGGGAGCUUGACUGCGAGACCUACAAGUCGAGCAGGGUCGAAAGACGGACUUAGUGAUCCGGUGGUUCCGCAUGGAAGGGCCAUCGCUCAACGGAUAAAAGCUACCCCGGGGAUAACAGGCUUAUCUCCCCCAAGAGUUCACAUCGACGGGGAGGUUUGGCACCUCGAUGUCGGCUCAUCGCAUCCUGGGGCUGUAGUCGGUCCCAAGGGUUGGGCUGUUCGCCCAUUAAAGCGGUACGCGAGCUGGGUUCAGAACGUCGUGAGACAGUUCGGUCCCUAUCCGUCGUGGGCGUAGGAAAUUUGAGAGGAGCUGUCCUUAGUACGAGAGGACCGGGAUGGACAUACCUCUGGUGUACCAGUUGUCGUGCCAACGGCAUAGCUGGGUAGCUAUGUGUGGACGGGAUAAGUGCUGAAAGCAUCUAAGCAUGAAGCCCCCCUCAAGAUGAGAUUUCCCAACUUCGGUUAUAAGAUCCCUCAAAGAUGAUGAGGUUAAUAGGUUCGAGGUGGAAGCAUGGUGACAUGUGGAGCUGACGAAUACUAAUCGAUCGAAGAC
rnacentral:rRNA from 1 species